rnacentral:misc_RNA from 1 species
GCCGGGCAUUUUUGUGUGCGGAUGUGGAAUGCGAAUGAGACGUGCGCGGUCUGUUGAGAUCACUGCAGUCUGCCGACAGCGCUACCGCGGAUUCUCUACCAAAAUAAGUAACGAUAUCGUCGUUAUCGNNNNNNNNNNNNGCCCUGCCACCUCCAUGCGCGGCGAAAUCCGGCCUUUUCAGCUUCGGCGACAGUGUAAGCAUACAUCUCCGGCGUCCGGGAGAUCUUCACACGGUCGUAUUGUUGAUCAAACGGCAAAUGAUAAAUUCUUUCUCUGUUACGUUCCGACACGUUG